AUCUCACCACUUCACAGAUUUCUCCAUAUUAGUAGCGUCAGCUCUGAAUGUGGAGAGAGUCAGAAAUAAGGAGCAGUCCAGGAGGGACAGACAGCGUAAGAGAGGUCCUGGACAGGGCCAGUUUAGUGCACCAGCUACUAGUAGUAAGAAGCAUAAGGGUUCACAGAGCCAGACACAAGGCCAGAGGGGCCAGUCUGGAGUAUCUAUAGCUAGUUCCCCGGGUACAGUAAUAAGAGAAUCAAUUUCAGUGCCAGAAUGUACCCACUGUGGCAGGAUACAUAGAGGGGAGUGUCGACUGUUGACUGGUGGAUGUUUCAGAUGUGGGUCU
rnacentral:misc_RNA from 1 species